UACGUAGGGAGCAAGCGUUGUUCGGAUUUACUGGGCGUAAAGGGCGCGUAGGCGGCGCGGUAAGUCACUUGUGAAAUCUCUGAGCUUAACUCAGAACGGCCAAGUGAUACUGCAGUGCUAGAGUGCAGAAAGGGCAAUCGGAAUUCUUGGUGUAGCGGUGAAAUGCGUAGAUAUCAAGAGGAACACCUGAGGCGAAGGCGGGUUGCUAGGCUGACACUGACGCUGAGGCGCGAAAGCGUGGGUAGCAAACAGG
rnacentral:rRNA from 1 species